rnacentral:rRNA from 1 species
UGAGGAAUAUUGGACAAUGGGCGCAAGCCUGAUCCAGCCAUGCCGCGUGCAGGAAGAAGCAUCUAUGGUGUGUAAACUGCUUUUGUACGGGAAGAAACACUCCUACGUGUAGGAGCUUGACGGUACCGUAAGAAUAAGGAUCGGCUAACUCCGUGCCAGCAGCCGCGGUAAUACGGAGGAUCCAAGCGUUAUCCGGAAUCAUUGGGUUUAAAGGGUCCGUAGGCGGUUUAAUAAGUCAGUGGUGAAAGCCCAUCGCUCAACGAUGGAACGGCCAUUGAUACUGCUAGACUUGAAUUACAAGGAAGUAACUAGAAUAUGUAGUGUAGCGGUGAAAUGCUUAGAUAUUACAUGGAAUACCAAUUGCGAAGGCAGGUUACUACUUGUGGAUUGACUCUGAUGGACGAAAGCGUGGGGAGCGAACA